AAUGAACGUUGGCGGCAUGGAUUAGGCAUGCAAGUCGAGCGAGAAGUGUAGCAAUACACGGAAAGCGGCGGAAGGGAGAGUAAUACGUGGGAAUCUGCCCUUAGACCUGGGAUAGCAGCGGGAAACUGCUGGUAAUACCAGAUAAUGUCUAUGGACCAAAGGUGUGAUUCCGUCUAGGGAUGAGCCCACGUCCUAUUAGCUAGUUGGUAGGGUAAUGGCCUACCAAGGCGAUGAUGGGUAGCGGGUGUGAGAGCAUGACCCGCCUCACUGGGGCUGAGACACUGCCCAGACACCUACGGGUGGCCGCAGUCGAGAAUCUUCGGCAAUGGGCGCAAGCCUGACCGAGCGAUGCCGCGUGCGGGAUGAAGGCCUUCGGGUUGUAAACCGCUGUCGAGGGGGAGCAACUUCCAUAGAGUUAUCUUUAUGGAUUGAGUGAUCCCUGGAGGAAGGACGGGCUAAGUUCGUGCCAGCAGCCGCAGUAACAC
rnacentral:rRNA from 1 species